rnacentral:misc_RNA from 1 species
UGAGCGUAUUGUGGGUUUCCUGUGUUGCAUACCUGACUGGUGGUAUCGUUUGGUUGAUCGAAGUCCCUUUUCGUCUUGUGUUGCCUAUGCGAAGCAUGACGAACUUCGAAGCAGACUCUAUGUUCCACCAUGUUGAUGCUAGCGUUUUGAUGUUGUGGCCCAUUGAGUUUGCUUGGUCUUGUGGAUACAGAACAUGAUUUGGGCAUAGGGUCACUCGUGACUCUUGUUUUGUCCUUUACAAGUGUUCUUUAUAACGACGGUUCAUGCGUGCCUAGGCUCGUACCUGCGUGAUGUUCUUGUCGAAGAGGAAUGC